rnacentral:rRNA from 1 species
AACGAACGCUGGCGGCAGGCUUAACACAUGCAAGUCGAGCGCCCCGCAAGGGGAGCGGCAGACGGGUGAGUAACGCGUGGGAAUCUACCCAUCUCUACGGAAUAACGCAUGGAAACGUGUGCUAAUACCGUAUACGUCCUUCGGGAGAAAGAUUUAUCGGAGAUGGAUGAGCCCGCGUUGGAUUAGCUAGUUGGUGGGGUAAAGGCCUACCAAGGCGACGAUCCAUAGCUGGUCUGAGAGGAUGAUCAGCCACACUGGGACUGAGACACGGCCCAGACUCCUACGGGGGGCAGCAGUGGGGAAUAUUGGACAAGGGGCGCAAGCCUGAUCCAGCCAUGCCGCGUGAGUGAUGAAGGCCCUAGGGUUGUAAAGCUCUUUCACCGGUGAAGAUAAUGACGGUAACCGGAGAAGAAGCUCCGGCUAACUUCGUGCCAGCCGCCGCGGUAAAAC